ensembl:lncRNA
CAAGGGAGGUGUGGCUAACGUAGUAUUUAAACUCAUCCCUUUGUCAGUUUGGAUCUCACUUUCAGUGGGUAAUCAGAGUUCAAAAUGUUCGUGCUUUGGGCGCUACGAUUUGCUUGGGUGAUUUUUGCUUGUGGAGGAACCAGCGCAGCCUCCAGAAACAACUGUUAUCGACUGUAAUGGAACAUGGUAUGACAUCCAAGAGGCUACUUGCUGUGAAAACAAACUUUACCCUGGUGCAAGUCUCUCUUGUUGUGGAAAUGAGCCUUACAAUCUGGAAACAGCCACUUGUUGUAAAGUACAGCAUGAGCACGACAUCAUAGCCAGUGUUGACCAGGGUCUGAAUGAAAAGGUAUCCAAGUGCUGUGACCUGAAGGCGUACAACCCAGUCAAUGAAAUGUGUUGUCAGUCAACCAUCACAGCAAAACCUGGACCAAUGGCUGAAUGUUGUGGUAAAGAGGUUUUUGAUAAGGAUAAGCAGUUGUGUUGUGGUCCAACUGAUAACAGGAUAAUUUUGGUGAGGAAUUCUAGCCACCACCGGUGCUGUGGCCACAACCAGUAUGACACCAAGACUCAGUGCUGCUGUACAAAUAAGGAAAACAUUCUGGAGAUACAACCUAAAGAUUCAGACUGCUGCAUGGAGGACUCUCCAGCAGUUCUUCCAUGUGGAAAUAUAACCUUCAACAAACAUACGCAACUAUGCUGUCAGUUAAAUGUUGUUCACAAAUCUCCACAGAAGUACAAAUGUUGUGAUAAAAGGGCAUAUGAUGUGGAAAAGGAGCUGUGUUGUGGCCCAAGUAAUAACAAAAUAAUUCUAAUGAGGAAUUCCGGUAAUCACCAGUGCUGUGGUCACAACCAUUAUGACACUGACACUCAGUGUUGCUUUUUGAAUAAGGAGGGUGUUCUUGAGAUUCAACCUAAGGAUCCAUCUGGCUGUGUGAGAGAAAAGACAGUUGAGCGCCAGUCUAAGUGCACUGAACCAAAAACACAUCUCUGUGGGUCGUUAUGUUACAAUCCAAAGGAACGUCGCUGCUGUGAGAGAAAUCAAGAAUCUCACUGGUUCUGUGCCUCAGGUAACACCGUCUCCAUGUUUGUUUGUUUUGAUAUGUGGUUGCCUUAUCUGUCAGUUACCAUCUCAUGGGACUUACCCAUCACUCUGUGAUGCCAGCACGGCUUCCAGCAAAGCAGUUAGCUCAGUUUUUUUUAUCUUGUGUGAAAGAGAAAAACAUCUUUCAAAGAAAC